rnacentral:ncRNA from 1 species
UUUUCAACAUAGCUGGAGUACUUAUUGAAGCUGUUAUGUUCGUAAAGCGCAUGAUUAAAGGAAUUGCGGGACGAAACAUCUUCAACCUAUUCUUAAACUUUCAAUGAGAACACAUGGCUUGAAUGAAGCGUAGACAUUGAAUGUGUGCUUCAGGUGGGCUAUUUUUGGUAAGCAGAACUGGCGCUGUGAGAUGAACCA